rnacentral:rRNA from 1 species
GAUGAACGCUGGCGGCGUGCCUAAUACAUGCAAGUCGAGCGAACGGACGAGAAGCUUGCUUCUCUGAUGUUAGCGGCGGACGGGUGAGUAACACGUGGAUAACCUACCUAUAAGACUGGGAUAACUUCGGGAAACCGGAGCUAAUACCGGAUAAUAUUUUGAACCGCAUGGUUCAAAAGUGAAAGACGGUCUUGCUGUCACUUAUAGAUGGAUCCGCGCUGCAUUAGCUAGUUGGUAAGGUAACGGCCUACCAAGGCAACGAUGCAUAGCCGACCUGAGAGGGUGAUCGGCCACACUGGAACUGAGACACGGUCCAGACUCCUACGGGAGGCAGCAGUAGGGAAUCUUCCGCAAUGGGCGAAAGCCUGACGGAGCAACGCCGCGUGAGUGAUGAAGGUCUUCGGAUCGUAAAACUCUGUUAUUAGGGAAGAACACAUGUGUAAGUAACUGUGCACAUCUUGACGGUACCUAAUCAGAAAGCCACGGCUAACUACGUG